rnacentral:rRNA from 1 species
UACGGGGGGGGCAAGCGUUGUUCGGAAUUACUGGGCGUAAAGGGCUCGUAGGCGGCCAACUAAGUCAGACGUGAAAUCCCUAGGCUCAACCUAGGAACUGCGUCUGAUACUGGAUGGCUUGAAUCCGGGAGAGGGAUGCAGAAUUCCAGGUGUAGCGGUGAAAUGCGCAGAUAUCAGGAAGAACACCCGUGGCUAAGGCGGCUCUCUAGUACGGUACUGACGCUGAGACGCGAAAGCGUGGGGAGCGAACAGG